UGUCCAUCUCUGCACCAUCAUGACACAGGGCUCAGCACACAGCAGGCACUUAGUAUGUAGUUGCUGAAUGCGUGAAUAACAGCAGUGACAAUAAGAAUGGAUGCGUCUGGCUUCAGGAGAGAACGGUGGGAUUAUCAAAGCAGGAUGUGGGCUGGAUUGAUGCCAUUCGAACAGCCGUCCCGGGUCCUAGAGAGCCUGGAGGGGCCCCGGGGCUGCAGCGGGGUGAGAAGGCGUCAGGGCCUGAGGUGGCCCCCUUUGUGCCUCAAAGGUCACUCAAGCUCCACUGCUCCUCCCCAGAGGGCACCCACUCCACUUCCAUCUAUUCACAUGCCAGAUCUCCAUACCGGACCCGGUCUGAAGAAAGGGUUUCCUGCUAAAUAAAAUAAGCAAUGACGACAAUAAUGGUAAUAGUAAUGUCUGAAACGUCGCUGGCCUAGGGAACCCAGUCAGGUACUUCAGCACUAAAAUCAAAAUGCGUGGGUCCUCUCUCCCUUUGCUGAAAGUCAUUUGGUUGGGCAGCGCAGGGCUCCCCACAGCAGGUGUUCGUCCUGCCGAGACGCCUGGCCUUGUGGGUACGCGUUCCAGGUAAACAGGGUUGUAAGUUAACUCGUCCAUUCAGGACGUCACAAGAGGCGCUCAAUGAACCGAAAAGAAAACAGCCCCUGGGCGCCUUCAGCGCCCACACUCCAGCGGCUUCUGAAAGGAGCGUCUCGGCAAGGAAACAAAGCCUCCCGCCUGGGCCGCAGGAGCCCAUCCUGCCCACGCGGUUCCAGAGUCUGAACCAGGGAGGGGGGGCUCGGCGCUCGGGCAGCAUCGCAGGGCCGCACUGAAGGGCCUCGUCUCCCGGUCAGCGGGGAACGUGCGGCGGGGCCCCUGUGCUCCCAUCCUGCCCCAGAUGGUCACCGCCGGCUCACGGGGCUGUCUGCCCACCUGGGGCCCACAUGUCCACGCUCCACUCCGCCCAAAUCCCGCCAGGACCUCACGUGGCAUUCGGGCUUUGGGACCCCUUCACCUCCUAACUCUGGGCCGGCUCCUCAGUCUUUCUUGUCGUGACCUGGCCCCUUUGGAAGAGGACUGGCCAGUUGUUUCAUAGCACGUCCCUGGGUGUGGACAUCCGCGUGUUCCUCCCGCUCAGAGUCGUAGCUCGGCAUCUUUACAAGAAUCCCCGGAGGGACCCUGCGCCCGUCCCGGGCGUCGGCUCCAGAGGGGCAGAAUGUCGCCACCGUCAUGGCUGUGACCCAGGCCUCGACUGCCUGGCUGGAGCAGCGUCUGCUAGAAAGCAGCAUGGACGAAUACCUCUCUACAUGCAGGAUCUCCUGAGCGUCAGGCCAGGACGCCAUCACCAAAGGCGGGUCCAGCUGUCUGGGCGGUGGCUGCCGGUGCCUUGUGAGCCGCCCACACUUGCUCUUGGCGGAGGGCAAGCUCGAUGGCUGUGAGGCUCACUCUUAGGCGAAACAAGGCACACAGUGCACAGAAUCUUUCCCGCCUACCCCCAGAGCAGACUGUAGGGUGCGGAAAGCACAUCCUGUGUCACUAGACAAGGCGGAGGCCUGACAAAGGCCCUUUUGAGAAUCCCAGGACGUCCUAACAAACCAAAAAGGAUCAGCAGUGAGAAGACCCCGUGCGGUGUGAUGACGAGAGCGGGCGUCGUGGGCGGAGUCGGAGGGCCAGGUCAGCACCUCUGAACUCGCAGAGGAGAAGAGAUGAGCAGGGUCACCUCGGAACGCGGAGAAAAGGGGCUGCCCAGCUCUCCGUGAGGAGGCAGCCAGAGCGCCCUCGCCGCGGACAGGCGCUGUCGGCUGUGCUUCCCCCACGUUCCUUACGAGGCGACUCUGGACUGGACAGAAGACGUUUGCGAGAUUAAGGUGGGAUCGAUAUUGCGGCCCAGAGGACAGCGCAGCGCGGGCUUGAAACCAGCAGGCGGGUGGAGGCCCGACCGGGGGCGGCGACGGCAGCCUUAAAGUCCGGCCCCCGCGCAGCAGGCACAGGAAAUAAGAUCAUCACGGGGGAUACAGGACGCCCCGGAAGCUUCCAGACGAGAGGAGCGCCGGUGGGCGUCGGGCUGGGAUCCGUUCCCUGUCGGGAGCGCCAGAUGACGCAGCACCCGCCUGAGUCAGGCUCCUUCGGGCCGCGCCGCCAGAGGACGCGAAACCGCUCAGCGUUAAGACGAGAAAAAGCCCCCGAGGCCUGCGCGGCGGAGGUCACGUCUCACGGAGCUCUUCCUCCGCCUGCCCCUCCUGCCGGAUCCUGCUCCUCCUCCGGCCGGGGCACCCCCUGCCCCCACCUCCGCUCUGAUGCCGUGUGGUCUCCCAUCUGCUGCGCCCUCCGCUAACAUCCCUGACUGAUGGGCGCGGACACCGAGCUCCCGCCAGCGUCGCAUCCAGGCGACUGUCCCAGAGGGACGCGGGAUGCACACCGGAGCCUGGACCCCGGAGGCGGGUGGCCGCUGCGCACGACUUCUCAGGGGGGCGUGGAGCCUGCGCCUGGGGCCACCUGGCCUCCGCGGAGCCCCUCUGCCGCCUGUCUGAGCCCCGCGGGGCAGUGGCCGGCCCGGGGUCCGGAGGCCCGUUUCACGAGUUCCCUGAACCUGCGUUUCUGCUCUGCUUCCGCUGCGCCCUGUGGGCCCCGCGGGACUUCCCACCACCCCACGCGGAGCCUGAGUUUUCCUAUUUAGGAGGCUGGUGGGGACGGCGGCUUUGGUUAACCCCAGCCCUCUCCGCGGGGUCAGUCUGUGCCCUGCGGAGUGAGGAGGAGCAGCCCGAGGCCCCUGCGGGCACCGCCCGGCCUGCGGCAGCCCGGGGUCUGCAAACGGGGCUGCGGCCGGCCUGGGUGAUCGGGCCAUCUUUCCUCACGCAGAUCAUUCGGGAGAAAGAAAGUCUGACGCCCCCGGACAGAAGAGCCCGCUCGAAGAACAGCAGCAAGAGGUCCUUGUCCAGUGUGUCAUUAAAAAAAAAAAAAAAA
ensembl:lncRNA